rnacentral:rRNA from 1 species
CGGAGGAGGGGCUCGCGGCCUAUCAGCUGGUUGGUGAGGUAAUGGCUCACCAAGGCGACGACGGCUAGCUGGUCUGAGAGGACGACCCCCCACAUUGGAACUGAGACACGGUCCAGACUCCUACGGGAGGCAGCAGUGGGGAAUUUUGGGCAAUGGCCGAAAGGCUGACCCAGCGACGCCGCGUGUGGGAUGAAGGCCUUCGGGUCGUAAACCGCUGUCGACAGGGACGAAAGCUCGUCGGAUAACACCCGGCGAGGUUGACGGUACCUGUAGAGGAAGCACCGGCUAACUCGCUGCCAGCAGCCGCGGUA